rnacentral:rRNA from 1 species
UACGGAGGGUGCGAGCGUUGUCCGGAAUCAUUGGGCGUAAAGGGCGCGUAGGCGGCCUGCUAAGUCGAACGUGAAAUCCCUGGGCUCAACCCAGGAACUGCGUCCGAUACUGGUUGGCUUGAAUCCGGGAGAGGGAUGUGGAAUUCCAGGUGUAGCGGUGAAAUGCGUAGAUAUCUGGAGGAACACCGGUGGCGAAGGCGACAUCCUGGACCGGUAUUGACGCUGAGGCGCGAAAGCCAGGGGAGCAAACGGG